UAGCAUUCCAUGUAGACUUUUGGCACUGCAUGGUCGAAACCAGAACAACACCAAUCGUCGUUCACACAUGGCGUGGGAAACCUUUAAGGGGCACAAAUAGAGACCGGUGAUGCCUCCUACCCGCGAGGUAUUCAAAUGACCGUGAGAACGAGCGUCAUGCCAUCCAUCCAACAACACAAGAACAUCGAAGAAAUCGGGGUUGGAUCAUGGCAAUUGCUUCGAAGUUCACCUCUUACCGCUAGUAGCAACUUGAGGCGAAAGGGG
rnacentral:misc_RNA from 1 species